CCUACGGGUGGCAGCAGUGGGGAAUAUUGCGCAAUGGGCGAAAGCCUGACGCAGCGACGCCGCGUGAGGGAUGAAGGUCUUCGGAUCGUAAACCUCUGUCAGCAGGGAAGAACGGUCACUGUGCUAAUCAGCAGUGAAUUGACGGUACCUGCAAAGGAAGCACCGGCUAACUCCGUGCCAGCAGCCGCGGUAAUACGGAGGGUGCGAGCGGUAAUCGGAAUUACUGGGCGUAAAGCGCUCGUAGGCGGUAUGUCAAGUCAAGGGUGAAAGCCCCGCGCUCAACGUGGGAACUGCCUUUGAAACGGGCAAACUGGAGUGUGUGAGAGGAAAGUGGAAUUCCAGGUGUAGGGGUGAAAUCCGUAGAUAUCUGGAGGAACAUCAGUGGCGAAGGCGACUAUCUGGCACAUAACUGACGCUGAGGAGCGAAAGCGUGGGUAGCAAACAGGAUUAGAUACCCGUGUAGUC
rnacentral:rRNA from 1 species